UAGUGAGGGUCUUUGUGCUGUCUCAUCCCAUGGUGGAUGGUGGAAGAGCAAGGAUGAGGCAACCAAAGACUGUAUGUCCAUCAGAGCUUCAGUGAGAUGAUGACGCCCACAGCUCAGAGGUCCAUUGAGAUCAAAGACCUUACCUUGCCUGGGAGAGGACCAACUCGAACUGACCUAAAACACCACCUUUUAAACUGGCUUUCAGCCCCACCGCCUAUAUCAGGAGCUGUUCGCCUUCCUGUCAAUAAAUCAGUUGGCAUUUGGAAACAAAGCCCACAAGGAGGAGAGGGGAGGGAGGAUCUAGUUUGAGGCACUAACAAGGAGAAGAUAUCCUUUUCAAAAGAGCCCCUAUCAGAGCAACAUGAAUUCUGCUAAAAUUGAGGCAAGAACAAACAUGAAAUUUAUGGUGAAAAUUGGGUGGAAGAAUGAUAAAAUCAUUGCUAUUUUGAGAAAAGUUUAUGGGGACAAUGCCCCAAAGAAAUUAGCAGUCUACAAAUGGAUAACUCAUUUUAAGAAAGAAUGAGAUGAUGUUGAAGGUGAAGCCCACAGUGAUACACCAUCCACAUCAAUUUUGAAGGAAAAAUUCAUCUUGUUCAUGCUCUAAUUGACAAUUAAUAGCUGAAACAAUAGCCAACUCCAUAGACAUCUCAGUUGGUUCAGCUUACACAAUUCUGACUGUAAAGUUAAAGUUGAGCAAACUUUCCACUUGAUGGGUGCCAAAAUUGUUGCAUCCAGACCAGAGGUGGACAAGAACAGAGCACUCAAUGGAAAUUUUAAACAAGUGGGAUCAAAAUCUUGGAACAUUUCUUUGAAAAAUUGUAGCAGGAGAUGGAACAUGGCUUUACCAAAGACAAAGCACAAUCCGAGUAAUGGCUACCAAGAGGUGGAAGUGUCCAGUCAAAGCAAAAGUAGACUGCUCAAGAGCAAAGGUCAUGGCAACAUUUUUUUGGGAUGCUCAAUGCAUUUUGCUUGUUGUCUUUUCGGAUGACCAAAGAAUGAUAACAUCUGCUUAUUAAGAGAGUGUUUUAAGAAAGUUAGCCAAAGCUUUAGUGGAAAAAUGCCCAGGAAAGCUACUUCACAGAGAAUUUUUCACCACCACAACAAUGGUUCUGCUCAUUCCUCUCAUCAAACAAGGGCAGUUUUGCGAGAGUUGCGAUGGUGAAUCAUUGGGCAUACAUCUUACCGUCCUGAUUUGGCAACUUCUGACUUCCUUUUGUUUCCUAAUCUUAAAAACACUAUAAAGGGCACCCAUUUUUCUUCAAUUAAUAAUGUAAAAAAGACUGCCUUGACAUGAUUAAAUUUACAGGAUGCUCAGUUCUUUAGAGAUAGACUAAAUAGGCUGGUAUCAUU